CAGAGAAUCCAGACUGAGCACCAGGGAAGAGGAAAGGGAGGAGCCAGCCAGUAAGGGAAGCAGUGCAGGAGGAGGAGGACUAGUACCUGGGAUCACAACACUGGCACAGGGACCGGAGUAUAGACUCACCCGGCUGCUGCCACAGACACUGCAGCGAGUGCCCCGUCCAGCUCAUGCCAGCUUGGCAGCAGUGACUCCAGCACAAAGGGUCAAUGCCCGGCACUGCUCCCAGGUGCUGACGAGCUGAGGAGAGGAUGCUGAGCGGACUGUGUGUGUUCUCCGUGCUGUGCGCCCUGUGCCCCUGCUCCUCCAGCCGCUCCUUAGAGUGGUUCACCGCCCUGGUCCGCACAGAGUACACGGAGCCCCUGACUAACACCACGGUGCAGGGCACCACCGAGAGCGGCCGCUAUGGGGACAGCUCCCCCAAGGAGAGCGUCCAGGGUCUGGUGGGCUUCCCCCGGGAUCCGGCUCACCUGGAGGGCUGUCAGCCUGAUGUCCAGUACGUCGUGCCCGGCAUGAAUGCCAGGGCCAUGGAGGAGGGCGAGCCCUGGAUAGCGCUGGUUUCCCGAGGAGGCUGCACCUUCAAGGAUAAAGUGGUGAACGCUGCCCGCAGGAGGGCAUCAGCAGUGGUCAUCUUCAAUGAGGCCAAGAAUGGCAAUGGCACGGUUCCCAUGACACAUCUAGGAACUGGUAAUACUGUGGUAAUAAUGGUCGGUUACCCAAAAGGAAUGGACAUUAUGGAGCUUCUAAGAAGAAACAUAGCAGUAAAGAUGAUUAUCACUGUGGGCACCCGACAUGUUCAGGAGUUCAUCAGUGGUCAGUCAGUGGUGUUUGUGGCCAUUGCCUUCAUCACAAUGAUGAUUAUAUCCCUUGCCUGGUUAAUAUUCUACUACAUCCAACGUUUCAUAUAUACUGGAGCACAGUAUGGAAAUCAGGGUAACCGGAAAGAAACCAAAAAAGCCAUCAGUCAACUUCAGCUGCAUAGAGUAAAGAAAGGCGAGAAGGGUAUCGACAUUGAAGCAGAAAACUGUGCGGUAUGCAUAGAGAGCUACAAACCCAAAGAUGUUGUUCGCAUUCUUCCAUGCAAACAUAUCUUCCAUCGACUGUGUAUAGACCCAUGGUUACUGGAUCACAGGACGUGUCCCAUGUGUAAACUGGAUGUUAUUAAAGCUCUGGGAUUCUGGGUGGAGCCUGAAGAAACACAUGAAAUCCCUGUGCCUGAAUCCAUUGCCGGCAGCAGCCUUUCUGUUGGGACUCUAAGUUUUGCCCAAGAGGACAAUAGAAGUGAAAUAAACAACCUGCCUACUUCUUCAACAGGAGACACCUUACAACAAUGUAACAGUGCCAAGGAAGACGCAGGGGAGACCACUGCAUUGCUAGAUUAGCUGAUGUCACAAAGACUUAUAUUAAGUUCAAUAUGGAGAAGGAGACUCUUCCACUGUCCGUAGCAUAUGUGCACAGUGACAUUUUCUGAUCUUUGAGGUUCUAGUAAGUCGCCGGCAGUAAUGACAGAAAGUAUGAUCCUGGCAGUGAGGAUGCAUCCGGGGAACAAGCACAGAUUUCUGGAACUCCUACUGCUCUCUAACCUUUCUGAUGAAGGCCCUACAGACUGCUAGAAAUUUUACGGGUUUUAUAUAAGCCAUGAAGUGACAUUUGGUUUAGUCAGAAGAGUAUAAGAGGCUUAUAACUGCCGGAUACUUAUAAUAUUAUUCUAUUUAAUUUAACAUACAAGCCCUUUCUUCAAGCACAUACACAUGGCAUUUGUUACAUAUUUGUGUGAGGUCUGAUGAAGAGGGUAGAGGCAGGUACUGGUGAUACAAGGUUACAAUUGAUGUCCCUAUAUAAAAUAUAUGCAUUCCUGGAGGGGAAAGAGAACCUUUUAGCUAAAAGAAUGCCUAAACUUUAGCGGACUAGAUUAUAACUGAUGACGUACCUGCUUAUUCCCUCUUCCUGUAUACUUGGACUCCACGAAAAGAAACCUUAGAAACAAAGCACUUAUAAAAGGAGACUGCCUGGUACUUAACCAUUGUCUUGAUACCCAUGCACAAUAUACUCCUGCAAGUAUAACUGAUGGCUGAUUCUGGAAAUCUGUCUCAGGAAUAUCUGUAUAAAUAGCAGCGCUGAACAAAAUCUGUUGUACUAGGUCCACCUCAGGAAUAAGGAGAUCUACAGUGAUGAACAAGUUCUGUUCUGUUGGAUUCAGCUCAGGGAUCCAGGCACCUGCAACGUUGAAUACGUAAUGUUUUUGUUUUGGAUCCAGCUCAGGAAUUUGUGUGGUUGCGGUGAUGAACAGAUGCUGUGGUUGUGGCUGGAGAAUAAAAGCAUUACAAGAUUACACAAUUGGAGGAGGAUACGCUUUAAGACUCCGUUGAACUCAUUAAUUCGUUUGACCAAAGGCUGCUGAAUAUUUUUUUUUCUUUUUGUUUACAAAUAAAAUAAAAACAAAUGACAGAAUUACUACAUAAUGUACUGUGCGGAAUAUAAAGAGGAGGAAUUAAAGCCUUUUUAUUGGUUGUCAUAAAU